rnacentral:rRNA from 1 species
GGGGGAUAUUGCACAAUGGAGGAAACUCUGAUGCAGCGACGCCGCGUGAGGGAAGAAGGUUUUCGGAUUGUAAACCUCUGUCUUCGGGGACGAAACAAAUGACGGUACUCGAGGAGGAAGCCACGGCUAACUACGUGCCAGCAGCCGCGGUAAUACGUAGGUGGCAAGCGUUGUCCGGAAUUACUGGGUGUAAAGGGAGCGCAGGCGGAACUGCAAGUUGGGUGUUUAAUCUACGGGCUCAACCCGUAUCAGCAUUCAAAACUGUGGUUCUUGAGUAAUGCAGAGGUAGGCGGAAUUCCCGGUGUAGCGGUGGAAUGCGUAGAUAUCAGGAGGAACACCGAUGGCGAAGGCAGGUCACUGGGCCGCAACUGACGCUGAGGAGCGAAAGCAUGGGGAGCGAACA